rnacentral:rRNA from 1 species
CUGAGAGUUUGAUUCUGGCUCAGAACGAACGCUGGCGGAAGGCUUAACACAUGCAAGUCGAGCGCACCCUUCGGGGUGAGCGGCAGACGGGUGAGUAACG